rnacentral:tRNA from 1 species
GUUGUAGCUCAGUGGUAAAGUGCUUGCUUUGCACAUGUGAGGCCCUGGGUUCAAUUCUCAGCACUACA